GUCCCAGUUCGGAUCGCAGGCUGCAACCCGCCUGCGUGAAGUUGGAAUCGCUAGUAAUCGCGGAUCAGCAUGCCGCGGUGAAUACGUUCCCGGGCCUUGUACACACCGCCCGUCACACCAUGAGAGUCGGGAACACCCGAAGUCCGUAGCCUGACCGCAAGGGGGCGCGGCCGAAGGUGGGUUCGAUAAUUGGGGUGAAGUCGUAACAAGGUAUC
rnacentral:rRNA from 1 species